rnacentral:rRNA from 1 species
UACGUAGGGGGCAAGCGUUGUCCGGAAUCAUUGGGCGUAAAGAGCGUGUAGGCGGCUCGAUAAGUCCGCUGUGAAAGUCCAGGGCUCAACCCUGGAAGGCCGGUGGAAACUGUCGGGCUAGAGUCCGGAAGAGGCGAGUGGAAUUCCCGGUGUAGCGGUGAAAUGCGCAGAUAUCAGGAGGAACACCGGUGGCGAAGGCGGGUCUCUGGGCCGAUACUGACGCUGAGGAGCGAAAGCGUGGGGAGCGAACAGG